rnacentral:rRNA from 1 species
UACGUAGGCAGCAAGCGUUGUUCGGAAUUACUGGGCGUAAAGAGUGUGUAGGCGGUGCUGUAAGUCUGGUGGGAAAUCUCCCGGCUCAACUGGGAGGGUGCGCCGGAAACUGCAGUGCUUGAGGGUGGGAGAGGUAAGCGGAAUUCCUGGUGUAGCGGUGAAAUGCGUAGAUAUCAGGAGGAACACCUGUGGUGUAGACAGCUUACUGGACCACUUCUGACGCUGAGACACGAAAGCGUGGGUAGCAAACAGG